rnacentral:lncRNA from 1 species
CCGCCGCACAGAAUCUUCCAGGAGCCCCAGGCGCAGUUAGGAGGGGGGAUAUCGCGGCGGAAUAAGGAAACCGAGGCACGCAGACACCCCCGCCCCCGGGGGGAGAUUGCAACAAGGGCUCUUGAGCUGACUGCAAGGUGAAGCUUCCAUACAUUGCACAAAAGAUUCCCUCUUCAAUGAGAGAACAAGGGUGAGGGCGAGCAUUUGUGGCGGAGGCAUUCAGCCCACAGUUUGGCAGGGAGCAGCUGCUGGGUGACAGGCGGUUUCUACUUUAAAACAGUCACCAUUAUUACCACCGCUGCUGCAGAGAGGUGUCUAGGAGCUGGGAAGUUGUGAUCUCCCCGGCUCAGGAGGGAACCAAGCCGAGGCUGAGCAAAUCUGAGAUGGAAACUCAUGCUCUCCACUUCCUGAAAGCAGUCUGCCCCUGAGCCCCCUCGGAGUCU